rnacentral:RNase_MRP_RNA from 14 species
GUUUCGCAGUGCACACACGGGGAGCUUGUUCCCAGAGGUCCUGCGAGGAAAGUCCCCGUGCCUUGGUGCAGAGAGUGCGAGUGGGAGACCGCAGGGCUCGUGCCAGACCUCCAGUGGUAAUGCUUCUCGCUGAGCCUUGGUGGCGUGCUCGGGCCCUUCGCAGCAGCACAGACAUGCCGUGAGCGCUUAUGACUGGAGCGCCAACAGAACGGGGCUCACUCUCC